UUACAAACAUGAUAUCUAUAUGCAAAUUUCUUAUUAAGCCUAACUGUUUGCCUAAUAGAAUUAUUAUAUAUGCAGAAAUGCACAAAUCUAUAGGCAUGAUAUCUACAUAUGAAGUUGCAGGAAUCUGAAAUAACACCCUAUAGGCACAGUAUCUACGUGUGAAGUUUCACAAAUACAAAUAACAGUAUAGCAUACUUUCUAGCCUUGUGCAUAAAAGUAACCUCCCUCCCUUCUUUAGUAGAUCCCCAUGAGUUUAUUACAAAAACAAACCAGUAGGACAAUUAAAAUUAAAAGUACAUCAGAAGCUACCAGCUACAUACGAGAAACCUAAUUUAGACUUAGCGUCUAACAAUAUAAGAUUGAAGCACUUCCGAGAUCAAGAUUUCUAAAGCCUUCUCUUAUCUUGGGUGUUUCUGAGAUCUGAGUUUCAAGAACUCCAGGAAAUGCUUACACCCCAGAUAUUAAUUAGAAACUGAAUUAAAGUGCAGUGUGGAAAAGCCAGCCCUCAAGUGUCCAAGUUUAGAGGGAGCUCAUGGGUCCCAAGGCAAGGCUCACAAGAAGAGGCCAUAACUUAGAUUCUAAGAAAAGUGCAAGUGCAAUAGAGGGGGGGUUAGGGAGUGCCAAGGCAGGCUAGUGGUUAUGCCCAACAAUAGAUAGGCUGGCAAACCCCUGACCAGCCUGUUCAACCAACAAUUAUGAGUAAAUACCUGUUGGAGGUCAGACUAGGGUCUGGACAGUGAUUAGGACACUGCCAGACCAAAGUCUCAAACUCAGCAUACAUUAAAGGGGAAUAGGGAUGAGAAGUUAAAGAAUUUAGGACUCAGAGAGUCCAGUUCAUGUCCAUGGACAACAAUAUUAAGUGCUUCCAUGUUUUUUGAACCAUAACUCGGCCAUACAUAGGGAUUACUGAUGAGGAUUCGUGUAAGAACAGGAACAAUGAAACAAACUUACAGAAAAUUAUGGCAUGUAAACAAUAAGAAAUGAAUUAUAGAAUAAAUACAUAGGGGGAGAGGCAGGAACUGAACAUGAGAACAUACCAGUUGCAGAAAAGUAAGAAACGAAAAGCAGGAUUCUUUCAAGCAAAGCCACAACCAUAAAAGAACACUUAAUGGUAAUAAGUUUAGAGAAAUCGAGUUCUUGUGAAAAUUCUAACUUCUAAGUGUAUUUUGAAAGUAUUCCGUGAGAAGUAACAAGAACUGAUUGUGUUUGAUAGUGUAAAAGGGCUUACCCUUUUAUAGUGUAGAAAAGCAAACAAGAAAGGCAAGAAAACCUUUUGAAAAUCAGUCACCAAUAUUCUCCUUUCAGUUAAGGGAUUUAAUUUCAAACGGGAGCAUGUAAUUAAGGAAAAGAAAUUUUAGUAAAAUCUGUCGUAGUAGCAGAAGAUGGGAGAAUACAUUAAGUUUAUAUAAGGAAAGCACGAAGGAAAGGAAAUUUUAGUAAAAUGUAUCACAGCAGCAGAAGAAGGGAAAAUACAUGAGGUAUAUAUAAGCAAAGGUCUCAAUAGUACUUGGUUUGUAAAGAGAAACGAAAGGGAAUCGAUCAGCCAACUAAUAAAAUCAAAGUAAGCAGGUUUGAUUCGAAUGAAACUAGUCGGGAAUAGGUAUAGAAAGGCUCAAACAAAAGGAAAUUAAGAGCAAUUAGUCAAGACCCUAUCAAAGGAGUCCAAAAUCAAUCAAUCUAUCGUCAAAAAUCUUUAAAGAGGAGAUUUCUUACAUAUAAAGUAAACAAUUCAAACAAAAGAGUCUAACAUUAAAGGGUUUAGGAUCACAUACAAAAGAGUACGAGUUCAGCUAGAGACUUAUAGUGAGACUGAAGGUCCAGUGUCCCAGAGGGGAACCCUAAU
rnacentral:lncRNA from 1 species